UACAUGGGGUGCAAACGUUGCUCGGAAUCAUUGGGCGUAAAGCGCACGUAGGCGGUUCGUUAUGUCGGGUGUGAAAUCCCUCGGCUCAACUGAGGAAGUGCAUCCGAAACUGGCAAGCUUGAGUACGAAAGAGGGUCGCGGAAUUCCUGGUGUAGCGGUGAAAUGCGCAGAUAUCAGGAGGAACACCGGUGGCGAAGGCGGGUCUCUGGGCCGAUACUGACGCUGAGGAGCGAAAGCGUGGGGAGCGAACAGG
rnacentral:rRNA from 1 species